rnacentral:rRNA from 1 species
CAGCCGCCGCGGUAAUACGUAGGGUGCGAGCGUUAAUCGGAGUUACUGGGCGUAAAGCGUGCGUAGGCGGUGAGUUAAGUCUGCUGUGAAAUCCCCGGGCUCAACCCGGGAAUGGCAGUGGAUACUGGCUCGCUAGAGUGUGUCAGAGGAUGGUGGAAUUCCCGGUGUAGCGGUGAAAUGCGUAGAGAUCGGGAGGAACAUCAGUGGCGAAGGCGGCCAUCUGGGACAACACUGACGCUGAGGAGCGAAAGCGUGGGGAGCGAACAGGAUUAGAUACCCCGGUAGUCCCUGUCUCUUAUAC